AUGCAACUGACGAGUCCCACAUUGGACGAAACGCACGUUCUGGAU
rnacentral:hammerhead_ribozyme from 1 species